CACGUAGGGCGCAAGCGUUGUCCGGAAUUAUUGGGCGUAAAGAGCUCGUAGGCGGUCUGUUGCGUCCGAUGUGAAAACUGGAGGCUUAACCUCCAGCGGUCGAUGGAAACCAUUUGGCUAGAGUCCGGAAGAGGAGAGUGGAAUUCCUGGUGUGGCGGUGAAAUGCGCAGAUAUCAGGAAGAACACCCGUGGCGAAGGCGGCUCUCUGGGACGGUACUGACGCUGAGACGCGAAAGCGUGGGGAGCGAACAGG
rnacentral:rRNA from 1 species